UACGAGCGGCCCAAACGUUAUUCGGAAUUACUGGGCUUAAGGAGUUCGUAGGCGGCGCAGAAAGUAGGGUGUGAAAGCCCUCGGCUUAACCGAGGAAUUGCGCUCUAAACUACUGUGCUUGAGGAACCUAGAGGUGAGCAGAACUGAUGGUGGAGCGGUGAAAUGCGUUGAUAUCAUCAGGAAUACCGGAGGCGAAGGCGGCUCACUGGGGGUUUUCUGACGCUGAGGAACGAAAGCCAGGGGAGCGAACGGG
rnacentral:rRNA from 1 species